AGCAGCCGCCGCGGUAAUACGAAGGGGGCUAGCGUUGUUCGGAAUUACUGGGCGUAAAGCGCACGUAGGCGGAUAUUUAAGUCAGGGGUGAAAUCCCAGAGCUCAACUCUGGAACUGCCUUUGAUACUGGGUAUCUUGAGUAUGGAAGAGGUGAGUGGAAUUCCGAGUGUAGAGGUGAAAUUCGUAGAUAUUCGGAGGAACACCAGUGGCGAAGGCGGCUCACUGGUCCAUUACUGACGCUGAGGUGCGAAAGCAUGGGGAGCAAACAGGAUUAGAUACCCGUGUAGUCCCUGUCUCUUAUAC
rnacentral:rRNA from 1 species